CUUCAGCUGUGGGCACAGGAGGCAGCACUCAGGACAACUUCCAGCAUGGCCUGCUCUCCUCUCCUCCUCGCUCUCCUCGCUCACUGCACAGGGUCCUGGGCCCAGUCUGUGCUGACGCAGCCGCCCUCAGUGUCUGGGUCCCCAGGGCAGAGGGUCACCAUCUUCUGCACUGGGAGCAGCUCCAACAUCGGAGAGGGUUAUUAUGUACACUGGUACCAGCAGCUCCCAGGAACGGCCCCCAAACUCCUCAUCUAUGAAAAUAAUAAGCGACCCUCAGGGAUUUCUGACCGAUUCUCUGGCUCCAAGUCUGGCACCUCAGCCUCCCUGGCCAUCGCUGGACUCCAGACUGGGGAUGAGGCUGAUUAUUACUGCCAGUCCUAUGACAGCAGCCUGAGUGCUGACACAGUGCUCCAGGCCCAGGGGGAACUGAGACAAGAACCCACUUCCUCCGCUACCAGGAGGGUGAGCGCCGGCAGCUGCUGCUCAGGCCUGGCCUGUGGCUUCUGCGGCUGCAGCUUCCCUCAUGGUCCCAGGGGCAUCCAGGGCCCUGCCUGGGAGUGGAGGCUCCCCCUCCCCUUCUGUCCUCAGAAUCAGGAACAGGGAAUCCAGGAAGCAGAAUAUCCCUCUCCCUUAACUUGGGACACAGGGUCUCUACACUGA